rnacentral:lncRNA from 1 species
GCAGGGUUGAUGAGAGGAGAAGAUGGACGAGAGCAGAAGUCUAGGCUGAGCUCGCUGUUCAUUACGUUACCAUUACACGGUUAUUAUCUCUGUCUAGGCUAUAGGACAAUAUUUGAACAGAUUGAAGUUGUCGGACAGAUAACUACGACAUAAGUGAAUGUGUUCUUGGACAGUUUAUUGAGUUUUUUUAACAACGCGAGUAGCCUGCCUCUUGACGCCUCGCCUGGGCGCCAUUUUAGCUCAUAGUGCUCGAGCCAGAAGCAGUUACCAUCGUCCUUGGUGCACGUGGACUUUGCCGACUUUACUGAGACAGAGGCCGUUUGUUUGACAAAAGAUUGACGGCAGGGCAACCUGGUUGACACGAGGAAUGGGGCUCCACACAUGCUUUCACACACGGGACUCAACUCUCUUCUCCUCCUCAAGUUUCUGGACUUCAAUGCUUCUGGUGCUGCGUUGAGGCAUGUAACGCAGGCUGCCUUCCCAGGAGUGCUUCCUGUCUUAAUGAAUAUGAGAAGCGUCUUCUCAACAGCAGCAAUUUCUUGUGCACUCCAAGGAUUUCUCUGGCGGGAGACUGGUAAGACAAAGAACAUGAGUCACACUACAUUACAAUGUAAUGUUGUUACCAAAAUAUUCAUAUACUUAUCUUUAAAAUCUGAUAAUGAGUUAAUGGCUCAGUAUGCUAAUAAUUGCGAUACAAAAUGUGUCUUAAAUCAAAGUUAUACACUUCAAAGUUGUUUGUCAAGUCCUAUAAUUUUCAUAGAGCCAUCCAGGACAAUCAUUUUGCAGGUUUCCUGAGUACAAGCCCUACAUUAGCCCUAUUACGUUUUACAGUGCUUAUAUAGUGGAUGGGGGGCCCUAGAAUGCCCUUAGAAGAGCAUUAAGGUCAGUUGCAGCAGACCAGUUACUCACGUUUCUUGGGGGCUAGGCCCAAGUCAGUUGACUGGUCACCGGAAUCAGUGUGGGUCCUCUUUUUUGAUGUUCCUGUAUCAAGACAUUUAAACAGACAUAAGUAACAAUAAAUUCUACUUUACUUUCUACA